CACCAUGGACAGUAACCGUCACCAUUGGAAACACAGUCACGUCAAAAUACACUUACGGGUCUUGGCAGAAGCUGUAUUUGGGCAUGAGACAUGCCUGUCCCUAACCCUAAAUCAAACCCACAAACAUCAGGACGUUUCCCCAUCCAGCACCCUGGUUAACUGCAGUGGAGAAAGAGGAAUUCUACACCAAUUAUCCUGGGGGAAAAAGAACAGAAACAAUUCACUCACAAGCAUCUCUCAUUUUUGUGGACAGUGGGAAAGUUUUUCAUAUCAGUUGCUGUAAUUGUGCAAUUAUUGCAAAGCAAUUGUAAUUCAAAAAUACCCAUAGACUGACUACGCAUUAAUUCAGAUCAAAUGUACGUCAAAUAUUAUAUUAUAUAACCACUUCAUGUUGUACCCAUUAAAAGUUGAUGUUGGACAUUUGAUAAAUUGCUGUAUCCAUUGUGGAUAUAAUUUCCAAAGGUGCUUAUCUAACAACAAACAACGUUUUCAUAAGCGCUGAGUUAUUAUGAUGAAAAACAUUUUUGGAGCCAAACUCCUGGGGACAUUUAUGCAUGCUCUUCCUGGAGGUUUGAGUAUUUAGGAAGCUCUACCUCAAAAGCCACUAAGUGAUAAAAAGUAUAAAACAUAUAUGUUACAUCAGUAUUCAAACAUGUGUAUGCACAAAGAAAACACAGUUUGAUUGUACAGCCAAGCAAAACGACACACAUUUGAAGCAUUGCCCAGACCCAGCUGUGAAAAGUCUCUAGUAUAAUAACUUUCCUGACUCUACCAUGGCAGGGCAUGAAAUGAAUAUAGGCUAGUAAAAGUGCCCUUUCUAUAUAUUAAAUUCCACAAAAACCUGACACCUCAUUCACAAAUGUAAUAUUGUACAGAAGUUGUAGCAUAAGUGUAGGGAGAUUAUAAAAUAUAUUUAUUUUGGAGAGACACUCAUGAAAAACUACAAUCUUAAUCUCCAAUGAAUAUAUUGGAUAUUUUCAUCAAAAAUAUUUCCACAAAUUCUUCUAUUUUUCAACUAAAUUUCCCAUGAUUUCAGAACAAACAAACCUAUAAAGGAAAGAAUGUGAGUCUUUAUUCAAUAAUAAUAAUUUAAGAAACUCACAGAAUUCUGAAAAUCCAGCACUGCUUCUUAAUUAACAAAAUGCAAUAUAUAUCUUAUUUCAGGUUGUUAUCGGGAUGUAAUAUGGAUAAUAUGGAUAUAUUUUCAAUAGCAUGCACUGCAGAAAGGUUCUAGAUCACAUAAUUAUUCAAAAAUAUGACUUUCAAAACUAGUUUUCUGGAAAGCAGUUUCAUCAGCUGUUAAACAACACACAUUGUUGUUCUAUCCCUGUCAUACAGUCAAACGAUUACAUUUGGCACCACCCUAAAGUCUAUUCUGUAGAAAUGCACAAUUUGACACUAACUGACAUCUUAAAAAAAGACCUAAACAGACUAUAUUUUAAGUUAGCUUUCACAAUUUUUUCUAGACCAAAUGAAAUUUAAGGUUUCCACAGAUGGUACAGAAUAUUAAUGCCAAGUAACUUCAUUGUAUAUCAUCCUCUACAGUCUCUAUAAACAUCAUUCUUUCAUGUAACAAAUAGAAUGACCUAAGCUCCAGAUUGUUUAAAAUGCAGCCACUAUUCAGAAAAUAUGAAAGGCCUAAUAGUCCAGUUUUAUCAUCACUCAGCUAUGUUAGACAUAAAACUCUUUGCUGAUUUAUUGCAGGGCUUUGAAAGGAGCUAUUUUUACAACUACUUUGGAAGAAUAUGUAUUUUUUUAAAAACGCUAAGAAUUAAAGUGAUCUUAAUUAAGUUCAAUAGCAAUGCUUAAUGCUUCAAUGUCAGCAGGUAAUGUGAACCAUAAAAAAAAAAAAAAAAAAAAAAAAAAAAAAAAACAAAUAGUAAAAUACUAUUUAUUAUUACUAUAAGUAAUUUAACUACGACUGAGAAAAUAAAAAAAAAAAAAAAAAAAAAAAAAAAAACAAAUGUAAAAAUCAUUUUAUAUUCAUAAGAAUUUUACACGCUGAGAUAGCUUUUUGGCCAACGAACUGAUGGAAAAUACUUAAAAAAAACAAAAAAUAACAUUAAAAACUUUUACCUAUGACCACCAACUCUAUUUUAUUGUUUUUGUUUAUAUAUGAAUCCUCUAUUAUUGCUCUCUAUUCUUUUUGGUUGUUAUUGUUACAUGAUUGUUCAUAAUCAUGUAUAACUCAAGAUUUUGUAAUUGGGAAGUAUAAAUGUUUGUGAAAUGUUCUUGGCUUUCUCAUACAGCACUACAGUGUAUCUAUCUAUCUAUCUAUCUAUCUGAAAAGUAACAGGUUGGCCGUGUUCUGUCUAGAAAACCAAAAAAAAAAAAAAAAACAAAAACCUACGUAAGUAAAAAAAAAAAAAACACCUAGAAAGUGAAAAAGUAGGUGUGGAAAGGGAGUUUUGUCGAAAAACCAUAUUGUCUUUCAUUACUGAAUUGUUCUCUAGGAAUUCUAACUGACUGAUCUGAGAUGAAGCCAUCAAAAUAUGUGAAUGAAAUCAAACAACAAACCACCUACAGUACCUGUGCAAGAGAGCUGACCAAAUGAAAAGCCUCUGUGACCCGAAGGUACAGUGAAUAGAAUCUUUUUUAUAGUUUUUAUAGCGGCAUUACAAAAGAAGUUUCUGUGGAGUGGAUUUUUGUGUUGAAAAAGCUUUGUGUGCUUCUAAUGUGGUCCUUUUCUGUGAGAGGUCUGAAAGUCAUUGAGUUGUUGGUGGCAAUUUUAACAACUAGAUGCCCUUAUUUGUUUGCAUAAUGCAUUGUUCUACAGCCCCUUAGAUACUGUGAGCAUUCAGGGUGAGUGUUUGGAAAAAUGGCAGCACUUUUCUUGUUAUAUUAAGCCUGAAUAAAGCAGGCAUCUGGGGGAUGCGCACCAAGUCCUGCUUCAAUUCAUUAAAGAGAAAUACAUUAAUGUAGACUUGAAAUUGAAUCCAAGACACUGGAGAGCACUCGGGAUGGUGAGAUUCAAGGCACAGGCAGACAAUAUUGAGACCUGAUUACUGAUUUUGGACGCCUUCAUUCCCAGAUGAUUCACAGACCAGGGCCUUUUGGACAUUCUAAUUUUGCUUUUAGUAUUUUACGGUUUAUAAUCCAUUAUGAAAUUAUUUUCAGGUGGAAAGGUCAUUGAAUUUUCAAACCUCCAUUAAACAGAAUAAUACAAUUCAUCACUCUUAAACACACCAUGCACUGAUUUGAUAUUUGAAUACUCCUGUCUGAUCAUUACAGCUUUAAAUAGAAUUUAAACUGAAUGACUCUCAAACUGAAAUACUCAGGGAUUACUCAGGCUACCAGCACACAUGCAGAGAAGAUACAGAAUAUAUCAAAUUUAUCUACUGCAGAUCUUACAUGAUGACCCUGACCUUCAUAUCCUACAUUCCUGAGACUUCCAAACUGGCUCAUGUAAAACUUGCCAAGUCCAGAAUUAAUAAAACACAUACCUGAGGGGUUAUCUGCCUAUUAAAUCUAUUAAAUGACUGCGCUAUAAUCCAUAUUAUGGAGCCCCUAAAGUGACAUUUGUAUAUAUAAAAACAAAACAUUUUGCACGUGCACAAGAAACUUAUGUACUAGAAAAUGUACGUAGACAUGAAAACAUUUGGAUGUUCUCACAUUUUCAGUUAGGAAAAUAAUGUGUCAGUUAUGCAAAUCAUUGAAUUCAGUGAUGUCAUCAUCCAGUUCAGUUCAUUUUAAAUAGUAUCUGUGCAAUCAAGUCAACGAUAUCGCUGGAAUUGAAGUGUCCCCAACUAAGCAAGCCAGAGGUGACAGCAGCAAGGAACAAAAACUCUAUCGGUGACAGAAUGGAGAAAAAAAAACCUUGGGAGAAACCAGGCUCAGUCGGGGGGCCAGUUCUGUUUUGGCCAAAUGAACCAGCAGUUUGUUCCUGCAGAUUUCUUUACAUUGUUUUCGACUUUGAUAUCACUUUGUUGUCUUGUGAUGGAUGAAUGUGUUCCUCAAAAUUAUUUUUUGAGCUUGCUGGUUGUUCCCCCUGUUGUGUACCAGGUGUUGAGGUCUGUAUUUCAUAUAUAUUUUUGUCUUAUGAGUAUUAAUGGGAUGAAUAAUAUUCAUGUUAUGCUGUCAGCAGUUAAUGACAACAUAACAGUUGAUGAUGCAUGCAAGUUGACACAAAAACAGUUUUAAGUUUAAAUUAUUUUUAAAUCACGUGCAGAAUAAUUACAUUUGUUUUUUUCAAAUUUUGAAACUUUUCGCUUCAUGGUGUAGUGAAUUUCUUAUGAAUUAUUGUGAUGUUUUUAUCAGCUGUUUAGACUCUCAUUCUGACGGCACCCAUUCUCUGCAGAGGAUUCAUUGGUGAGCAGGUGAUGUAAUGCUACAUUUUUACAAAUCUGUUCAAAUAAAGAAAAAACUCAUCUACAUUUUGGAUGGCCUGAGGAUAAGUGAAUUUUAAGCAUAUUUAAAUUUUUUGGUUAGCUAUUCCUUUAAUAUAAAUAUUAAUUGUUACAGUUUUGUCAGAUGAAGUCAAGCAAGAUGUUUUCUUGCAGUAUUAAUUUAAUUUAAUUUAAUUUAAAUAAAGAAAUAAAAAAACA
rnacentral:lncRNA from 1 species